rnacentral:rRNA from 1 species
UACAGGGGGUGCAAGCGUUACUCGGAAUCAUUGGGCGUAAAGAGCGUGUCGGCGGCUUGGUAAGUCUCAUGUGAAAGCCCCAGUCUCAAGCUGGGAAUUGCAUGAGAUACUGCUGAGCUAGAGUAUAGGAGAGGUGUGCGGAAUUCCUGGUGUAGAGGUGAAAUUCGUAGAUAUCAGGAGGAACAACAGAAGCGAAGGCGGCACACUGGACUAUUACUGACGCUUAGGCGCGAAAGCGUGGGGAGCAAACAGG